GCGGUGUGUCAAGAAGGAACAAUAAGAACUGACCAUAAAGGGAAACAAGGUGUGACAAUUAAUUUACUAAUGAGUUGGACAGGUAGAUACUAUUACAACUAUGCCCAAUGAAGUAUGACUGACUAGAUCUGUCAUACAUUUUAAAGUGUGAAGAGAUAAUAGACUAUAAAUCAAAAGAUCAAAUAAUCAGAGUGAGGUAAUCAAGUCUAAUAUCUGGCAUAUAAUAAAAUGUAAAAUAC
rnacentral:lncRNA from 1 species